UUCUUGGUCAUUUAGAGGAAGUAAAAGUCGUAACAAGGUUUCCGUAGGUGAACCUGCGGAAGGAUCAUUAAAGAAAUUUAAUAAUUUUGAAAAUGGAUUUUUUUUUUUUUUGUUUUGGCAAGAGCAUGAGAGCUCUUACUGGGCAAGAAGACAAGGGAUGGAGAGUCCAGCCGGGCCUGCGCUUAAGUGCGCGGUCUUGCUAGGCUUGUAAGUUUCUUUCUUGCUAUUCCAAACGGUGAGAGAUUUCUGUGCUUUUGUUAUAGGACAAUUAAAACCGUUUCAAUACAACACACUGUGGAGUUUUCAUAUCUUUGCAACUUUUUCUUUGGGCAUUCGAGCAAUCGGGGCCCAGAGGUUAACAAACACAAACAAUUUUAUCUAUUCAUUAAAUUUUUGUCAAAAACAAGAAUUUUCGUAACUGGAAAUUUUAAAAUAUUAAAAACUUUCAACAACGGAUCUCUUGGUUCUCGCAUCGAUGAAGAACGCAGCGAAAUGCGAUACGUAAUGUGAAUUGCAGAAUUCCGUGAAUCAUCGAAUCUUUGAACGCACAUUGCGCCCCUUGGUAUUCCAGGGGGCAUGCCUGUUUGAGCGUCAUUUCCUUCUCAAACAUUCUGUUUGGUAGUGAGUGAUACUCUUUGGAGUUAACUUGAAAUUGCUGGCCUUUUCAUUGGAUGUUUUUUUUUCCAAAGAGAGGUUUCUCUGCGUGCUUGAGGUAUAAUGCAAGUACGGUCGUUCUAGGUUUUACCAACUGCGGCUAAUCUUUUUUAUACUGAGCGUAUUGGAACGUUAUCGAUAAGAAGAGAGCGUCUAGGCGAACAAUGUUCUUAAAGUUUGACCUCAAAUCAGGGUAGGAGUACCCGCUGAACUUAAGCAUAUCAAUAAGCGGAGGAA
rnacentral:rRNA from 1 species